GAUGAACGCUGGCGGCGUGCUUAACACAUGCAAGUCGAACGGAAAGGCCGAAGCUUGCUUCGGUACUCGAGUGGCGAACGGGUGAGUAACACGUGGGUGAUCUGCCCUGUACUUCGGGAUAAGCUUGGGAAACUGGGUCUAAUACCGGAUAUGACAAUCUCUUGGAUGGGGUUGUGGAAAGCUUUUGCGGUAUGGGAUGAGCUCGCGGCCUAUCAGCUUGUUGGUGGGGUAAUGGCCUACCAAGGCGUCGACGGGUAGCCGGCCUGAGAGGGUGUACGGCCACAUUGGGACUGAGAUACGGCCCAGACUCCUACGGGAGGCAGCAGUGGGGAAUAUUGCACAAUGGGCGCAAGCCUGAUGCAGCGACGCCGCGUGGGGGAUGACGGCCUUCGGGUUGUAAACUCCUUUCGCAACCGACGAAACUUUUGUGACGGUAGGUUGAGAAGAAGCACCGGCUAACUACGUG
rnacentral:rRNA from 1 species